CCUCGAGCAAUCCGAGAGCCUAGGCCUCCCAGAGUGCUAGGAUUACAGGCGUGAGCCACCACGCCCAGCCCUGACCUUUGCUUCUUAAGUUCCCCCAUCUUCUCUCCACACUGGUGUAGACGACUUUAUUAAAACAUGGAUGGGUCAGUGGUUCCACUGCUUAAAGACCUUCCAAUGCUGUAGGUAAAUUCCUUACCAUAAUAUCCCAGCUGCUUCACAACCUAACCAGAGACUCCGUUUGCAGUCUCCCUUCUUCCUCCCCUUCUCUCUCAAGCCACGUGUUCCUCCCACCCUCCUGUAGGGUCACUGCCAACCUCUUUCAUGGCCCCCUGCUCAGCAUGUGGAUUUCCCCUCUGCCUGGCAUGUUCUUCUCAUUACCUGCGUAUCAGGGUUCUAUUUAACAGCUCAGCUUCAAAACCACCAAUCCUAGAAACCUUCCCUGACUCUUCUAAGGAGAUUUAGAAUCUUUCUUAGCAGUUCUCCAGCCAGUGUCUACUCUUCAAGGCAGUUACUGCUCAUAUUGAUGGCUUUCCUGCCGGACCGCAAGCUUCUCAAGGGCCAAAAGCUGUGCUGUCUUAUUCGUCCUUGCACCACCAGCACAGGGCUUAGCACUUAUUAAGUAGGUGCUUAAUAAAUGUUUGCUGAAGGAACGAAGGAAUGAGAGUGUGUUGUUUACAAGAGCAUUUUCCUUGUAAAGAACAAAAUCUCAGCUGCCCAGGCAUAGCAUUCUGCCUUUGAGAGAGUAUUUAUGUUGUGGAUCGCGGCAGCCACAGAAGAGGAAUCCGUCUCUGAGGGAAACCACGGGAGAGUACAGGCAGGUGAAAUGUAAUUAUCCACGCUGGCCCCGCGCCAGGGAUUUGCAGAGCCGCCGCCAGGCCAGGGCUAAACACACAGGGGUACGACCUUGCUCUCGCAUCCCUUCUGAAGAGCGGCUCCUCAGGCAGCUCGGGGCUCGGGAACAGCUUGCUGGGGCCUGGGGUCAGCCUCACUCACAGGGACCAGGCAGCAGGGCCCUGUGACCCUGCAGAGUGUGCUGUUCGGCUCUCUGGCCCCAUUGGUCGAAACACAUAGCCUGGUGUGGCAAAGGUGGACAGCUUGUGAUCUUUCUCUCAUUCUUUUCAGCUGCAUGGCUGCAGUCCUUCCAGCUGAACUUAGCAACAUGUGCUUGCCUUUCAGGGCACGAGACUCCAGCAUGUAAUAAUGAUAACUUGACAUCAAGUUACCAGAAGCCAAUUUCCUCACCUUGUGUGUAUGUGUGUGUCUUCAUGUUUAUUUCUAAAGCCAAUAAAUCUCCCUAUCCAAAUUACAAAAGCAACACAUGCACAAAGGCAGAAAACCACAAAGCCUUUUUGCAGCUAACCGUAGAUUUAAACUCAGGAAGUGUGACUGCAGGGUCCAAACCCUGACUUUGCUGGCAGGUCAAGCCCUCCGAGGGUCUACCUGGAGGCAGCACAGGCCAACAAACAGCAGGGAGCCCCGAGCCCCUGAUUUUUAAUAUAACUAAAGCCGUAGAAUCUUGGAGCUUCCACGAGUAUGACCUUGGAGGUGACCGCAGGAGACAGGCGGAAGAACGCAGAGUGGAGAACGAGGCACGUCCUUUCUACAAAGCAAUCUCACAUUUAGUCCGUAUUGUGCCUCUCAGCCAUGCUCCAGACAAGAUUUUAUGCCCAGAGCAGAGAGUUUCCCCUAAACGGCAAUAUUCCUGUAUGUUCUGCUUUUCAUUUCCUUGAUUCUCCCGCCAAAGGUCUCCAAGCAAUUUACAAACUGUGGGUUGUGUUUGCAAUUCGGACCCUUGAAGUUUAUCUGUCUUUCUCUCCCCUCUCACUUUUCCUUAGUCUUUUAUGAUGGCAACUGCAAAAGAGGAAGAGUGGGGAGAGCAAAGCUCAUGAAUGUAUAUGAAGCCAUUACAUCCGCGGGUGAGAUGCAUGCGCAGGCACUCUUUUUUAAAUGCUUGUCUCCCCAUCGCCGCAACUGCUUUGGAGCCUUUCCUUCCAAUUGCACAAAUUCAUUCUUUACUCUUUUACUGCAUCUAUUUACAAGUCCGCAAGGACCCUCUGGGAGGCCAAAUUCGGGCCUCUGAGCUCCUGUAAUGAAGCCUGGCUCACUCUGCUCUGAUAAAUCUCACGCUACGGCUGCUUGGGGGAUAGAGUGUGUGCCCCCCUCUUUUUUGGAAGGUCAGCCUGACUGAGGACAAAGGAUUUUAAAUUGUGCUCUGUGGAAUCCUGGAAUCCUGCGUAGGCUGCCAAGAGUUCUAGGAAAUAAAAAUAGUAAAAUCAGCCAUGGAUAUUCUCUUAUUUUCCGAGUCGCUCUGAUUUUAGUUUGGUUGUUAAACUUUUUCUGGGGUUAAAGUAUGUAUCUAGUGCGAGCACACCGUGCUCCCUGAAUUUUGUUUUAAAAGUUCGCCAUAGGUGUGGCAUGAGUAGGUUUGGAGGAGCAAGAUGAGAGUAGCCACCAGAGACAUUCUUCCCUGGGGGUGACUUGCCCCCAGUAGGGGUUUGUCUGUUUGACUAGGAUGUCAGCUCCAAGAGAUCAGUGCCUGGCAAUCUUAGGCACUCAAUAAGUAUUUGUUGAAUGAGGGAAUGAAUGAAUGAAUGAAUUUUCUGGCUGGUCUGUGCCGCUGUUGGCCCUACCUGCAGGCUAAAUUCUGCUCCAGAUUUUGUACCCAUUUUGACCUAGGAAGGAAUUUUAUCAGCAGCUUUACUGUACAUGCCUCAUGGGCUUAGAGUCAGGACCCUCAGGCCUGCUUGGGACACCCUGGGGACCCAUUGGCUGACCCCAUAUCAUGCUGCCCAAGUCUGCUUUGCUGCAUAAGACUUGCUCCCAGGGGAAUUCCUGGGUGCUUGGCUCGCCUUUGGGUCUAGCUUUUCCAUUUCCCCUCUGCUGAUGACUCUUAGUCCCCCUGAUUUAAGGGCAGGAGCUCUGGGGCCCUGUCACCCUUGGGUUUCUCUCCAGAUGGCUGCUUAUCCUCCUAACUCUGGAGUCUUGGCCACCAGCUGAGAUGACCAGGUCCCUGGAACUGAAAGCUUUUUUAACCUGGCUGCUCUCUGGAACAUGCUUCUCUAGCUAGCCAGAUGUCCCUCUCAGGGAAUUGAGCAUGUGGGUAGGGGUUGGGAUGUGGACAUGUGAGGGUUUGACUCAGUUUCUCUCCUAGAGUGACCCAAAACACCCCAUAUCCCCAACCCCCAAAUCCUCAGAAAAGUCAGGGUUCUCAAACUAGAGUUUAGAGGGAAGGGAAGUCUCUAAUCUCUACCUAAGUGGCCAUAGCUAAGAUAACACUAAGAGAGCAAGUGCAUCAACUAACUAACACACACAGUGGCUCCUUGGGAAGACACUGGGGCCCCUGGCCGGUUGGCUUCCUAUGGUUGUAUUUGUAAUGAAUGGACAAAAACUAUUACCCCAAUACUCUUUAUUACAAUUACUUUGGGAAAAUCAUUCUGGGUGAGAGAACUUUACUUCUUAAAGGACUCUGCCCACUUCCCUCUGUAGGGAGUGAGGGGGAAUCUCUGGCCAUGCUGGCGUGGCUCAAUGGUGGUGAAGCAGAAGUCCUGGAGGUGACUUCUGGUGAGAAUGUGGGGGAAGGGCCCUUGGGGAAGAAAAGAAUCUCCACAGACAGGGCACCUGGAGAAUUCUCCAUGUGGGACAAGCGUGGAAGCAAAGGCUGUAGAAGCAGCAGCUGCUGGAGUUGAAUUGCAGAAGGAAAUUUUAGGCGUCACUUGACUUAUGAUCUCCUUUCGUGUUUCUUAAGAACACAACGAAGGGUUCGAAUUAUUUUUGGCUGUCGGGCUAGUUUAUUUGAAUGAUACACUGUGCUGCUAUUGAACCACUUGGGAACCAGGGAUUUUAUUCAACAGAUAUUUUGUCCCAGCUCCUGGGGAUCCGGCAGUGAACAAAACAGACCAAAACUUCCUCAAAGGCUUAUUAGAAGAUCUAGAAAGUAAAUAAAUAAACUAUGUCAUAUAUCAUAAAGUGAUAAAUACUAUGGGAAAAAUUAGGCAGGAGAAGCAGAUAGGGAACUAGAGGGGAGGAACGUGUUGCAAAUUUUAAACAUGGUGGUCAGGGAACUCCUCCAAGAGAAAGUGACACGGGAGUAAAGAUCGAGGGGGUGAGGGGAUGAGCCAGGCAGGCAAAGUCAUGGGAGAGUUCAAGGUCAGGCAGGUUCAUUGACCAGCAAGGAGGCCAGUGUGGCUGGUGUGGAGCGAGCGAGGCAGAGAGCAGUAGGAGAGAUCAGAGAGUUAUGGGGACGUGGCAAUAUCGGACUUUGGAAGCCAUUGUUAAGCCUGUGGCUUUUCCUCUGGAGAUCUCUGAGCAGAGAAGUGAUAAACACGACUUUGGUUUUAAAAACAAGAAAGAUGAAAGGAGAGGCAGAUACAAGAAGUUAAGAAUUAUUACAAAAAUCCAGGGGAUAGAUAGAGAUGGUGCAAUGAAUAUAGUGAGCAGUGUUGUGUUUGUAUUUGUUGGCACUAUACAUCCAUUUAUUUACUAAUUAUUUCAUUUAAUAAUACAUCUUUGAAUAAGUAGUUUCAUAAAUAUUUCUUGAGCCCCCACAGAGAAUGCAAUCUGAAACAGAAGACACAUGCUUCAUGAUUCUAAGCCUGUCAGUUCUGGAAUCCUGGGACUCUAAGGAACCAGAGAUGGUGGCCUCAGAGAGGGACGAGUGGCAACUUCCUGUUGUAGGAUCUAUCGAGGAGCAUCUCGGAUGAGUGUUUGGCAGAUGGCAUUCCACUUGGACAGAGGACUGAGCAGGGGCAAAGGCCUGAACAAGGGGAACUGGAGGAACAGGAUGUGCUUUCAGUUCAAGAUAGCAGAGUGAGUACAAGUAUUCGACCUCUUCCACCCUUAAAAGUAUCAACAUGAAUAAGGCAUCACCAUUAUCA